AAAGUCAUUUUUUUUUUUUUUUUGCUUUAUUUCAAAUUCAACAAACCACUAAUCGAAGGAAAGGGGAGGCAAUCCUCUUCCUUCUCAAACCCAGGGUAACCUUGGUAGCUUCCAAGCCUCCAUCAAAGGCAAACACGGUUGUAAAUAACAAUCAUUUCCUAUUCAUAAAAGCUGCCCUUGACAGUCCAAGAAAUAACAAAUUACAAGUGAAUAGUUCCCAAGAGCUUCUGAUGCACUUUAAUCACCCCGAAUCUGUUUUGAUGGUUUUUUUUUCUUCUUUUCUCCCUUUGGAGAGGAAUUAUUAACAGCUUUGAGGAACUACAGCCCAGUUUGUGAAUUCUGGGUGCUCUACCAGAGUCGAGUUGGAAGCAGGAAAACAAAUUCACUGUCCAUUAUUAAUGCCAUUCUUCCUGGAAAACUAAGACAUUUGAGG
rnacentral:lncRNA from 1 species